rnacentral:misc_RNA from 1 species
CGCGAGUCCUCCACGUCGCGCUUCUCGGCGUCUCUUAAGAACCCUAGAAGCCUCUCUGCCUGGAAGCACGUACAGAUUAAUCAGGACGAUAAUGACGAUGAUGAAAUGGACGACGAUGAUGGUGGUUCUGCUCGGAAUGUGAGAUUGUAUCUGUGUGGGUUUUUGUUCUUCGUUUUACUGUUCACCAUUUUCUGCUUGAUUUUGUGGGGCGCUAGCAAGGCCUACAAGCCUAAAAUCUUCGUUAAGAACAUGGUUUUCGAGAACUUUAAUGUCCAAGCCGGAAGUGAUCAGACAGGAGUGCCAACAGACAUGCUGUCGUUGAAUUCUACGGUCAAGAUUCACUACAGAAAUCCCUCCGCAUUCUUCGCCGUCCACGUAACCUCUACCCCUCUUGAGCUUCACUAUUACCAGCUGAAGAUGGCCUCUGGACAGAUGAAGAGGUUUACUCAAUCGAGGAAGAGCCAAAGGACAGUGAUAACAGUGUUG